rnacentral:rRNA from 1 species
AACGUAGGUGGCGAGCGUUAUCCGGAUUUACUGGGCGUAAAGGGUGUGCAGGCGGGUGGACAAGUGGGGUGUGAAAGGUUUCGGCUCAACCGAGAUAGGUUAUGCCAGACUGUUUACCUAGAGUGUGAGAGAGGGACGUGGAAUUCCGGGUGUAGUGGUGAAAUGCGUAGAUAUCGGGAGGAACACCAGAGGCGAAGGCGGCGAACUGGACAGUAACUGACACUCAACUGCGAAAGCGUGGGGAGCAAACAGG